GUACUACUCCCUCCAUUCGGAAAUACUUGUCGUCAAAAUAGAUAAAAGAGGAUGUAUCUAGACGUAUUUUAGUUUUAGAUACAUCUCUUUUUAUUCAUUUUGAUGACAAAUAUUUUCAGACGGAAGGAGUACUAU
rfam:Triticum aestivum genome assembly, contig: Triticum_aestivum_CS42_TGACv1_scaffold_129551_2BL